rnacentral:rRNA from 1 species
CUGGGUGGAUCAGUGGCGAACGGGUGAGUAACACGUGAGCAACCUGCCCCUGACUCUGGGAUAAGCGCUGGAAACGGCGUCUAAUACUGGAUAUGUGACGUGACCGCAUGGUCUGCGUCUGGAAAGAAUUUCGGUUGGGGAUGGGCUCGCGGCCUAUCAGCUUGUUGGUGAGGUAAUGGCUCACCAAGGCGUCGACGGGUAGCCGGCCUGAGAGGGUGACCGGCCACACUGGGACUGAGACACGGCCCAGACUCCUACGGGAGGCAGCAGUGGGGAAUAUUGCACAAUGGGCGCAAGCCUGAUGCAGCAACGCCGCGUGAGGGAUGACGGCCUUCGGGUUGUAAACCUCUUUUAGCAGGGAAGAAGCGAAAGUGACGGUACCUGCAGAAAAAGCGCCGGCUAACUACGUGCCAGCAGCCGCGGUAAUACGUAGGGCGCAAGCGUUAUCCGGAAUUAUUGGGCGUAAAGAGCUCGUAGGCGGUUUGUCGCGUCUGCUGUGAAAUCCCGAGGCUCAACCUCGGGCCUGCAGUGGGUACGGGCAGACUAGAGUGCGGUAGGGGAGAUUGGAAUUCCUGGUGUAGCGGUGGAAUGCGCAGAUAUCAGGAGGAACACCGAUGGCGAAGGCAGAUCUCUGGGCCGUAACUGACGCUGAGGAGCGAAAGGGUGGGGAGCAAACAGGCUUAGAUACCCUGGUAGUCCACCCCGUAAACGUUGGGAACUAGUUGUGGGGUCCAUUCCACGGAUUCCGUGACGCAGCU